ensembl:lncRNA
CGGGCCGCCCCUUGUGAAGUCCCGCACUCAGCGUAAACGACCUGCCUACCCAUCCUGGCAUUCAUCCAACGUGACCUCGCGAGCUUCAGUUCAGCGUGAAGGUGGAACCCAGAAGAAGACGGUGCUGCAGCUGCCAAGAACGGCCACAGGGAAGCAACAACGCGACAUCUUUGGACAAUUGAGUUUGUGAACAUUCAUUAAAUCUGGAUUCCAGGUUGAGUUGGUGUUUUCUCACAGAGGAAAGCUGUAGAGUUCUGUCCUCAGUUCUCAGAUCAAACUCCUCCAGACUGAGAGAACUGAACCUGAGUCACAAUAACCUGCAGGAUUCAGGAGUGAAGCUGCUCUCUGCUGGACUGGAGAAUCCACACUGUACUCUGGAGAUACUGAG